GCGCGUAUAACUCAGCGGUUAGAGUACUGGUCUUACACACCAGCGGUCGGGGGUUCAAAUCCCUCUGCGCGCA
rfam:Dietzia timorensis strain ID05-A0528, complete genome.